rnacentral:rRNA from 1 species
CGGGUGAGUAACGCGUGGAUAACCUGCCUCAUACAGGGGGAUAACAGUUAGAAAUGACUGCUAAUACCGCAUAAGCACACGGGAGCGCAUGGCUUCCGGGUGAAAAGCUCCGGCGGUAUGAGAUGGAUCCGCGUCUGAUUAGCUGGUUGGCGGGGUAACGGCCCACCAAGGCGACGAUCAGUAGCCGACCUGGAGAGGGUGGCCGGCCACAUUGGGACUGAGACACGGCCCAAACUCCUACGGGAGGCAGCAG